CAAUGCCGCCCCGGGAAGCCGUUGCCUUGGCUACCGCGCUCCGGCUUGCCCUCUGCUCUUUUCCCUCCCUCUGACGCCGUAGAAUCGAUGCCCGCGACUUCUUGGAUGGGACGCCCCGUUUCAACUGCCGUCGGCCGGCCGGAGCGGACGGCCGGCAUUGACCGCGUCAGGCAGCCAUGCUAUUCCCCAGCGAGCUCGUGACCUCAGGACAAGGGAUUUGGUGGCGGCAAAUGCUGCGACGCACCUCGUGACUCAAAGCCUUCUCCCCCCCCCUUCCACCUCCUCGACCAGGAGGAUGAAGAAGGUGAAGAAAAUCCUGGGGCUGGGGAGGAAGAAGAAUGGGCGACAGUCUCCGUCGCGGAGCCGCGUCGUGGCUUGCGCUUCAGCCCCAGGCGCUCUCAUCUGUAGCGGCGGCGACGGUUAUAACUUGCAGAGCAAGGACCUGAAUAAGCUGCACCGAGCGGCGGCCGAAGGAGAUCUCGGGGAACUCCGACACCUCCUGCAGAAACACGACCUCAACGAACAGGAUAAAGCUGGCAGAACACCUUUGCAUUUUGCCUGUGCUAAUGGAUAUACAGACAUUGUUACUUUCUUGGUGGACAACAAAUGCCAACUAGAUAGCUGUGAUAAAGAGAAGAGAUCUCCAUUAAUGAAGGCGGUGGAAUUCCAGCAAGAAUUCUGUGCAAUUUAUCUGCUUGAACAUGGAGCAGAUCCUAAUUUGAAGGACAUAGACAACAACACUGCCCUCCACUUUGCUGCCAGUAAUUCUAGUGUAUCUCUAGCAAAAUAUCUGCUUGAAAAGAAAGCUGACAUUGAAGCACAAAAUAAGGAGGGGUGCACACCGUUAAUUGUUGCUGUGGCUGAAAAUAAUCGAGAAAUGGUAGAGUUUCUUCUUCAACAAAAAGCAUCUGUGCAUGCCACAGAUAAAUUGGGAAGAAUUCCACUACUGAUUGCUGCUUCUAAUAAAAAACGUGACUUAACACAUGUUCUCCUCCAUCAUGGAUCGAAUGUUGCCCAUAGAGAUAAAAGUGGAUGGUCAGCAAAAGAUUAUGCUAUGAUUAGUGAUGAUUCCAUUCUUAAGCAGUAUGUUGCUAAAUAUUCCGACUACAAAAAUAGAGAAGAGGGCUCAUUUGAUGGUCAAAAAGUUCUGCCUAUAUUAAACAGUCCAGAAAAAGACGGAGAUACUGGUAUUAUACUUGGUGCUCCUGCUAAAAAUAAAGAAGUUUUUGAUAACCACUCUUCUGGAGAUUCUAUAAGCAAUUCUGAAAAAACAGAUGAUGAUAGCUGGCUUUCUUCAGAAGAGGAGGAACUAGGCUCCAGUCCCAAGAAACCAGAAAAACCAAGUUUGGCUCAGCUAAUGAAAGUUCCAUGGGACUUCUUGAAAAAAUUAGAUGAGAAAGAUUGCACUUUCCGAACAGAACCCUUAGGCAGUUCACAGCAAAAUAAAGCAGAUUAUGAAUUUGAAGAAUGCAAUGAAUCCCUUCCUAAGCCUUUGUUCCAAGUCAAAACCUUCCCUCAUUCUGUCCAUUCCUCACCUGGCUCCUUUUCCAAAUGUUCCCAGAGAACAUUGCAUUCUAAACAGGAGAAACCUUCAAAAGAUGAAGAAGGUGGUGAACAGGAUAUUGCCAAUAAAAAAAGUAUUGUUUGUAGGCAGUCUUGGAAUAUCUCACCAAAAGCUAAAUCAACUUCAGUUGAGGACAAAGAUGAAGAGGAGAAGUGUACAGAAUCUCCAUGGGAUUCAGAAUAUACUUCAGAAAGCCCCAGGAAGCCAACUAUUAGUUCUUUGCCUACAUCUCCUGCCAAAACUGGAAUACACAUGCACAGUAUUAUAGAAGAACCAUUUAAUGGAAAACCAGGUUUGCAGCAAAAGAUCUCAAAAGAAAACUUAGUAUGUGAAUCUCCUGCUCCUGUUCUAAAGAAGGCAAUCAUAGAAAAGCAAAAAUCAGAUUUAAUGGAAGAACUUGGUUUGGAUGAAGCAGAUGAUAUUGAAGAUACAUCUGACUGGGAUUCUACCAGUGUUUCUCUUAAAAGCUCUCCAUGUGUUAAACCAGCUGACAUGUUUAUGUUGGAAGAUCAGGUAUCUCCACAUCAAUUAAUAGAAACAAAUGUUACACCUGAAAUCUCCAUGCCUGUGAAGGAAGACUCAGAUACUCAAAACAUAAUUUCUUCGAAAGGUCAGCAAUAUAUUGAACACAAAACUAUCAAAGAAUUUAAAAGUAAAAGCAAGGAAAAAUGCCUGUUAAACACAUCCAACUCUGUAGAAAAAUCAACACACGAAAAACAGACUGACAAGACUAAAAUUGAAUAUGCUGAUGAUGAAAAUGUAACUGAAGCACUCAUGCAUAGCAAAGAAGCACAUAAUGAUCGCAAUCAUUUUGAUUCAAUACAUUGGGAAGAAAAAUAUGAAAAAAUGUGGGUUGCAAAUGAAAAAAAGGAAGUCAAGGAAAAUUUUAAGAGUAUUACAGCAGAACUAAAACAGAUGUUUGGUGAAAUUAAAGUUUAUGAGAAAAUGAGUAGCACUCCAAGCAAAGCAACAUUACGAGAUGGCUUCUGUGGUGCAGUAGAAGGCAAAGAAGAAAUACUACUUCAUCUACAAAACGUAAAAAUUGAUAUUCAAGGAAAGGGUGACAUUAAAGAUGUAAGAUCUGCUGUUGCAGAAAGGGAAUUAAAUACUGAUGACUGGAACACAAAUAAGAACCCACUGUCUAAUAAUGCAAAUGGAACAAAAGUAAACAUCAGUGAAGAAAGGAUUAACAAUUCAAUUAUACAACUGAAAGCAAAUGUAGGUGGAACUAGAGCUUCAGAAAAAUGUCUUGAAUAUUCAUUGCAAAGUCAUGAAGACAUUACAAAAGAUACAGUUUUUAAAAUUAUAGUUGCUAAUCAACCAAUUACCCCCAACAACUUAUAUAAACAUAUUAGUGUAACAAAAAAUCCAAGUGAAGAAACUGAAUACCAUUUUGAUAACAGUUUCAAUAGUUCUAAAGGUACUGAUAUUGAAAUUGGAAAUAAAGCGAAAAAUCAUAAACAAGUAUGUCCUCAAAUAUCAAAAAAAGAUCUGGAUGAAGAAUUAGAAGGUGAUGUUGCAAGAUUUAAAAAUCAGGUAGGAAUACUGCAUUCAGCUUUCCUCGCUUUGGAGAAAGAAAAGAACCAACUGCAAAAAGAGAUUGAAGAGGAAAAAAUAAAAAAGGAAUUGGAAUCUGAAGGAAAAAAAAUUGCUAAUGCUGAAACGCUGGCUGUGAAUAAUGAUGAGAAAAUAGAGCAGAAGCAUUCAAUAAGUGAAAUCCAGCAUAUUACGGCAGAAAGUGUUUUCCCAGCAGAUAAAAAGGAAGCAAUUUUUCCAGGUUUAAAAGCUACAAGAAAAAGUGAAAAUAAAAGGCGGAAUUCUAAACAGAAGGUCAGUCAACAGCUUUGUAAUAAUCUACAUCAGCCACAAGAUGAGAGCAGUUUGAGUGAAGCAUCACUUGAAGAAAGAUAUCCAGCCAAAUCUGUGAAUAGAAAAAAUAAGCUUUAUAGAACAUUGAGUAUUACUAACGAUCUGGAUGACUUAACUCCAUCUUCAGAUUCAACUACAGAGGAUAUUGAGUCACUUUCUUCCAUUUAUAAGGAAGCUAUAGUGCUAAUAGAAGAACUUAGUUUAGAUUGUAAAGCAGAUUCUGUAAGUCUCUUGAAAAUUCAGAAUAUAUUUCAUGGAUAUGAACGACUAAUUGAACAUGAGAAGGGGCGUUAUACUCAAUUGCUUGAAAAAGUAAAAAAAUUUGAAAAUCAGAGAAAUGAAUGGCAAAAAAAUCUGGAAGACUUGAAAGAUAUGAAAUCUAUAUUGGAUCAUCAAAAAGUACAAUAUGAAAGUGAAAUCACCAAUCUGAAAUUUUGUAUGAAACAAGAGGAAGAAAAAAGAAUGGGAGCUGAUAUACUACAUGAGAAAAAUCAAGAGCAGUUAAGGAAGAAAGAUGAGCAGUACUGUACGCAAAUGGAAGAAAAACAACAGCUUGAAUUGAUGUUGAGAAGCAAAGAAAUGGAGUUAAAAACAUUAACAAACCACCUGAAACAGGUUGAAGAAGAACGUAAUGAAACACAGAGACAACUUUGUCAAGAACAAAAUGCCAGAGCCAUACAAGAAGAUAUUUUAAAUACCCACUUCUGGAGGCAGAAGGAAUUGGAAGAAGAAUCAAAAAAAGUAGCAACUAAACACUCAGAGAUCAUUGAUAAUCAUGACCAUGAAAAAGAAUUAUUACACAGAAAUCAAAUACUCCAAGAUGAACUUGCUGUAUUAAAAUUAGAACUUGAUCACAUCAGGAUUCAGCAUCAGGAGUAUGAAAGCAAAUAUUUGGAAGAAAAUGAAAGUUUGAAAGAAAAAAAUGAAGAACUUAAAAAAGAACUGAAACUAAAUGAAGACGCUUUGACUCAAACAGUUUUUCAAUACAAUGGACAAAUAAAUGUAUCAAAAACUGAGGUUGCAAUGGUAGCAUCCAAAUUGGAACAUUUCAAGGAAAAUAAAGAAAGGUUGGAAAUAGAACUUGAUUCACUACGUUCUCGUUUGAGUUCUGCUCUUCAGGAACUUGAUCGUUGUCAGGUAUCAAAAAGUGAUCUUGAACGAUUGCUUCAGCGAGAGAGGGAUGAAUGGCUCCGCUUAAAAGACAAAUUAAAUCACGAUGUAUGUACUGUACGAGAAACAAACAGUGUCUUGUCUCAACAGUUAGGGAAAGCUGAAAGUAAAGCUAAUAGUCUAGAAAAUGAACUUCACCAUGCAACCCACAGUCUCCGGGAAAAGAACUUGCUGUUAGAUAGUAUUCAAAGAGAUCUAAACCAGUCACAAUGCCAACUGAAAGAACUUGAAAAUGCACAACAAGUUGCAAAGGAUCAAAUAAGCAAAUAUGUAAUAAAACAGGAAUCUAUGCAAGAACGUCUAGCACAGGUCCAAAGUGAAAAUCUCUUACUUCGACAACAGCUUGAAGAUUUUCAGAACAAGGGCAUUAUCAAAGAAAAAGCAGUGACUGAUGUUCAAGAUAAAUUCAGUGAUAUUUUUAAUAAGCUCAGAGCUGAUACUGAAAAGCAAGUUCAGAUGAUGGAAGAGAGAAAUAAAGAAUUAAUCACAAAAUGUAAUAAUUUAAAGGACCAAGUCAUUAAAUAUGAAUCUGAGAAAAUAGACAGAGAGAGUACAAUAAGGCAAUUGCAGCAAGAACUUGCAGAUUCCCUCAAAAAGCAAUCCAUGACAGAAGCUUCAUUGGAAGUUUCAACACGUUAUCGUAUUGACUUGGAGGAGGAUAAACAGCAAUUUCUGAAGGAAAUAGAAAGGAUGAAAUGUAAGUUGCAAGAUUCAGAAGUACAGACUAUCCAGUGUGAAAGAUCUACUCAUGAAUUAAGACAUGCUUUGGAUAUUAAGGAACGUGAAGCAAAUGCGGCAUCUCAGAAACUACAGGAUCUUCUGGUAGCAUCAUCAGGAACAAAUAAUGCUAUAAAACAAUUAGAAGAGCACAUACAGAGACUUGAAAUAGAAAAUGCCAGAUUGGAAGCUACAACAAACCAGCAAAGUAAUAGAAUUGAGAUACUUCAAAAAGACCUACAGGAUAGUGUUUCUGUUCAUAAUCGUCUUGAGGAAUUGAUAACCAGUUUACAGACAGCAAAAAUCAAUCUAGAGGAACAACUAAACCACCAGGUCCAGAAGGAAAAUAUGCUUUCAGUAACUGCACAAGAUGCUCAGAAUUUGUGGGAAGAAGAACUGAAAUUAAAAUCAAAACUUGGGAUUCGCCUUUCUGAGCUUGAUAAGGAAAAGACAGAACUAAUAUCUCAGUUUGAGAAUGAAAAGAAAAAAGUAAAGAAGGUACUAGAAUUAAAGCGAUCAGUGGAAAUGCGACUAGAUCAAGAAAUGAAAAGGAACAGUGAAUUACAAAAAGAAUAUCAUGGUAUAAAAAAAGUUCUAAAAAUAACCAAAAAGAAGUUAAAAGGUUAUGAGAGUGGAGAAAGUUCAUCUCAAAUCAGCUUACAUGGAGAAAUAAAGAAUAAAUAUUCGGAAAUCGACAAUGAAGUUGGAAAAUUAAGAAAAAGGGUUGAUGAACUUUCUCGCCAUUUGGAGGUUGAGUCAACAAGAAGUACCCAACUGGAAUCUACCAAUUGUGAACUACGUGAACAAUUAGCAUCUAUGAAGUUAUUCCAUAAGAAUCAUGAAAAAUUAGAAAAAAGCAAAUUGCAACUAGAAGAAGAGGUAGCUAACCUCAAACGCCAAGUACAGGGUAACUUAAUAGAUCUCAGCCAAGUGGAACAAUACAAAAGAGAGAUCGAAGAACGAGCUAAACAAGAGAUAAGACAAAAAUUGGAAGAAGUCAAUUUCUUUUUGCAGACACAGGCUGCUUCUCAAGAAACUUUGGAACAGAUAAGAGCUACUAGUAAUGCUUCUUUGAGAAAUCAAUUGGAGAACAGAAUUAAAGAAUUAGAAUCAGAGUUGGCCAAAUUUAAAAACAGCCAUCAAGAUAGCAUAUUACAAAAAGAAUCUACACAUACAGAAUUGGAAAGAUAUAAAGGAUUGUAUUCAGAAGAACUAAAAAUACGGAAAUCUUUGGGGAGCAAAUUGGAUAGAGCUAAUGCGAAAUUAGCAGAAGCCAAUACUCAACUCUAUCAUGAGCGUCACAAAAACAAGUCUUUACUUGCCAACAGCUUUAUAAGUGGAAGCCUUUCUUCAAGUCCUGUCCUGGAAACAGUUCAGAUGGGAAAUCUUGGCAACAAUUUAGCAUUAAAUAAAUCUCUUAACCUUGGAGGAGGAUUCCUGAACACAAAUGGAACUGCAUUAGCCUCAAAAAACAGAGUGGAAGCUUACUUAGCAAAGAAACCUGUAAAGAGAGACAGAGAAGGUAAAGAAAAACUAGACAUGAGUGAGGAAGAAACUGGAAGUGGAAGGAGGCAGAAUGAGAAUAAGGCAUGUAAAGAGGGAGAGAAAAAGCAAGUAGAUUAGUCACUUUCAUUUCUGUCAUCAAAAACCAUACACUUAUGGCUUGCUCUUUACUUCUUCAGCUCCUUGAUCAAAAAUCUAAUUCUCCCUUCUCUUCUCUGCAACCAGAAACUUAACAAGAUGCAGAUGGAAUUAGAAAAAAGUAUCACAAAAGAACUGGACCAAGCUAAAGCUGAACUUGAUGCCGGAUCUGUUAGAGUCUCCCCUGUAGGAUCAGUUGAUGGAUCUUCAAAAAAAUCAAAUAUAGACCAAGAUCAAGUUUCCAAGGCAAGACAGCAGUAUCUAGAUGUUUUAAAGAAAAACUAUAUGAUUUGAAUAAAGUCUGCAAACUUGUA